UCGAGAUUGUUUGAGACGAACAGGUUUCAGAACAUCAGCCGCAGAACAAGCUUUUGUGGGAAUCACCAUGAAAUCUCUUCAACAAGAUCACACAAUCCAAGGGGCAAAUGACCCAAUUUUGAAAAUCAGUCCGAAGUGCCAAUAAAUGUCAGUCAUAUUGAAUUGGACGAGAAAAUCGAGUGACAAAAAUCAAGCAAUUCUGGAAGAGCUGAAAAAUCACAUAUUUGCAACAAAUACACAGAAAUAUAUUGAAUUCGUGGAAAAACUUUAUAGCAACAACAUGUUCUAAUUAAAUACGCGAGAAUGUCUUUUACACUUUAAUGAAAUCUCGUGAAAAGUCUCACAUUCAUUCUCGGGCAAUCA